rnacentral:tRNA from 1 species
GUCUUGAUAGUUAAAAUAUAACAUUGUCUUUUCGUGACAAAAGUGACUAGAAGUCUCUAGAUU